UGCCAGCAGCCGCGGUAAUACGGAGGGUGCAAGCGUUGUUUGGAAUCACUGGGCGUAAAGGGCGUGUAGGCGGAUGAAUCAGCUAGAGGUUAAAGACCACAGCUCAACUGGGGGACUGCUUCUGGAACUGUUCAUCUAGAGAAAGUGAGAGGUUAGCGGAAUUCCUGGUGUAGCGGUGAAAUGCGUAGAUAUCCGGAGGAACACCAGUGGCGAAGGCGACUUCCUGGGCCAAUACUGACGCUGAGAUGCGAAAGCGUGGGGAGCAAACAGGAUUAGAUA
rnacentral:rRNA from 1 species